UCAUCCCUGUGAUGUGAGCACUGGGCUCUGAAGCCUCAUUUGCUGAUACUCGUGCCUCUCUGUGACUUUGACAUACAGAGAGACUGAGGGAAUGA
rfam:Xenopus laevis strain J chromosome 7S, whole genome shotgun sequence.